rnacentral:rRNA from 1 species
UACGGGGGGGGGCAAGCGUUGUUCGGAAUUACUGGGCGUAAAGGGCUCGUAGGCGGCCAACUAAGUCAGACGUGAAAUCCCUCGGCUUAACCGGGGAACUGCGUCUGAUACUGGAUGGCUUGAGGUUGGGAGAGGGAUGCGGAAUUCCAGGUGUAGCGGUGAAAUGCGUAGAUAUCAGGAGGAACACCGGUGGCGAAGGCGGGUCUCUGGGCCGAUAUCGACGCUGAGGAGCGAAAGCGUGGGGAGCGAACAGG